AAUGAACGUUGGCGGCGUGGAUUAGGCAUGCAAGUCGCGCGAUAAGAGUAGCAAUACUCGGACAGCGGCGAAAGGGAGAGUAAUACAUAGGUACGUACCCUUGGGACUGGGAUAGCGGCGGGAAACUGCCGGUAAUACCAGAUGACGUUUCCGAACCAAAGGUGUGAAUCCGCCUGAGGAGCGGCCUAUGUCCUAUUAGCUUGUUGGGUGGGGUAACGGCCUACCAAGGACAAAGAUGGGAGUGGGGUGUGAGAGCAUCGCCCCCACUCACUGGGACUGAGACACUGCCCAGACACCUACGGGUGGCUGCAGUCGAG
rnacentral:rRNA from 1 species